rnacentral:rRNA from 1 species
CAAAAACAUGUCUUUUUGAUUAUAAUUUAAAGUCUAACCUGCCCAAUGAGGAGUUAAAUGGCCGCGGUAUUUUGACCGUGCAAAGGUAGCAUAAUCAUUAGUUUUUUAAUUGAAAGCUGGUAUGAAUGGUUGGACGAGAAAAUAACUGUCUCAAUUUAAAUUGAAUUAGAAUUUUAUUUAUGAGUAAAAAAGCUCAUAUAAGUUUAAAAGACGAGAAGACCCUAUAGAAUUUAAUAUAUGUAUAUAUAUAUUAUUUUUAGAAUUAAUAAUAAGGUAUAUGUAAUUAUAUUUUGUUGGGGUGAUAGAAAAAUUAAAAUAACUUUUUUUAUAUAAAAACAUUCAUGUAUGAAAAAAUGAUCCGUUAAUUACGAUUAUAAGAUUAAAUUACCUUAGGGAUAACAGCGUAAUUUUUUUUUAGAGUUCUUAUCGAAAAAAGAGUUUGCGACCUCGAUGUUGGAUUAAAAUUAACUUUUGGUGUAGGGGCU